rnacentral:rRNA from 1 species
AUUGAACGCUGGCGGCAGGCCUAACACAUGCAAGUCGAGCGGAAACGAGUUAUCUGAACCUUCGGGGAACGAUAACGGCGUCGAGCGGCGGACGGGUGAGUAAUGCCUAGGAAAUUGCCCUGAUGUGGGGGAUAACCAUUGGAAACGAUGGCUAAUACCGCAUAAUGCCUACGGGCCAAAGAGGGGGACCUUCGGGCCUCUCGCGUCAGGAUAUGCCUAGGUGGGAUUAGCUAGUUGGUGAGGUAAUGGCUCACCAAGGCGACGAUCCCUAGCUGGUCUGAGAGGAUGAUCAGCCACACUGGAACUGAGACACGGUCCAGACUCCUACGGGAGGCAGCAGUGGGGAAUAUUGCACAAUGGGCGCAAGCCUGAUGCAGCCAUGCCGCGUGUGUGAAGAAGGCCUUCGGGUUGUAAAGCACUUUCAGUCGUGAGGAAGGUGGUAGUGUUAAUAGCACUAUCAUUUGACGUUUAGCGACAGAAGAA